rnacentral:rRNA from 1 species
AAUUGUAAAUUUAGCCCCCCCCCACAAACUUCACUCUUUCACCUAAACCAUUUAUAAGAAUAAGUACGGGCGACAGAAAAUUCAUAAGCGCAAUAAACAAAGUACUGCAAAGGAAUAAUGAAAUAGAAUUUAAAUAAAACCUCAAAAUAUAAUAAAGCAAGAACUACCACCUGUACCUUUUGCAUUAUGGUUUAGCAAGUUUUACCCGACAAAAAGAAUUAUAGCCGGACACCCCGAAGCCAGACGAGCUACUCUAAGGCAUACAUAAUCCGUCUCUGUAGCAAAAGAGUGGACAGACCUUAAAGUAGAGGCAAUAAACCUAACGAGCCUGGAUAUAGCUGGUUACUUGAGAAUGAAUUUAAGUUCAACUAAGAGCAGUAUUACCACCAAGGGAGAAUACGCCCUUAUUAUAGUUGAUUAAGGUACAACUUAAUCAACAAAGGAAACAACCUACACAAAUGAGCAAAGAUAUAUACUGCUAGGAACACAACUCAGUAGGCCUAAAAGCAGCCACCAUACAACAGCGUUAAAGCUUAACUACCUUUCUUUCCCCGCUUAUUUACAUAAAAUAUCUAAACUCAAUAAAAUAAUCAAGUCAAUCUAUAUAUAGAUAGGUUAUUACUAAAAUAAGUAACAUGAAAAUAUUCUCAUAAUACAUGUGUAAAUCAGAAUAGACCACCUACUGAUAAUUAAUAAACAUAUUUAUAACACAAGAAUUUAAAUAUAUUUAAACGUUAACCCAACACAGGAGUAUAUGUGAAGACUUAAAAUUUAGAAAGGAACUCGGCAAACCAAGACCCCGCCUGUUUACCAAAAACAUCGCCUUUUGAAAUUCAAACAUGAAAGGUCUCGCCUGCCCAGUGACAUAUUCAACGGCCGCGGUAUUAUGACCGUGCAAAGGUAGCGUAAUCACUUGUUUCUUAAAUAGAGACCGGUAUGAACGGCGAAACGAGGGCCUGACUGUCUCACUAAAUUAGUCAGUGAAAUUGAUUUUCCCGUGCAGAAGCGGGAAUAAUAGUAUAAGACGAGAAGACCCUGUGGAGCUUUAGACCUAAGCUAACAUAUACACAUAGCAGCCUGUUUUAGGUUGGGGCGACCAAGAGGUAAAAUGAACCCUCGAGACUACAAGCAAGAAGGACACUUCCAACAAUAAUAUAAUUAACUUUUGACCCAAUAAUUUUGAUCAACGAACCAAGUUACCCCAGGGAUAACAGCGCAAUCCUCUCAUAGAGCCCAUAUCGACGAGCGGGUUUACGACCUCGAUGUUGGAUCAGGGCCCCCAAACGGCGCAACCGCUGUUAAAGGUUCGUUUGUUCAACGAUUAAAGCCCUACGUGAUCUGAGUUCAGACCGGAGUAAUCCAGGUCAGUUUCUAUCUAUAAACAGAUUUUUCCAGUACGAAAGGACCGAAAAACCAAGGCCCAUAAAAAAUUUAAGCCUCCUUAACAGCUUUUGAAUACAACUAAAAAAGUCUGCUAAGAAAAUUUAAAG